UUUUGAGCCAGGUCAUACCAAAAAACAAAAAGAAAGAACGGAACUCCCCCAAUGCGACUCUGAAAAACACACCCCCACCAAACCCCAAAACCCCAAAUCCUCAGCCAAAAUCUUCAAACCCUAACCCCCAAUUCCCACCCAACCACCUGCCGCCGGGGUCCUGCCGACGCGAACUCGACUAUUAUUUUUCAAAUUUCCAAUCUUCAAUUGCAGGAGAAGAAGAUGAGUGACAGCCUUUGCGUAUCCUUCUCGCUGUGUUAUUUGGUUCCUCUCUUUUAAAUGCGCUACUUUUCCUUUUCUUUCACUUCUAUUGUGUUAACUUUUUUUUUUCUUUUUGGUAAAGAGGAGGGCUUCUAUGGUGUUAACUUUGUGGCAUUGAAGCACAGUAGAAUGAAUUUCAACUUGAUGUUUGGGGUGCAUCAAGCAUGCAACCAUGCGUUCCAUCGUCAUUGCAUCAUAAAAUGUGUAGACUUCUCAGUCACAUUGCCCCAUAGCAGGGAGUCGCAAUUCAAAGGAUGAGAGAAAAACUAGAAUCACAUUUAGUAAACUUGUUUGCUCUCUCCCUCUUCAAGUGCAGUGGUUGCCAAUGCAUGCUUGCAAUUGUUUGAUUGUAUAUGGUUUAUAUAUCCCUUGUCUGUCUGUUGUGUUUUGGUUGAUGUAAACUGUGAAGUAGCUCAAAGUUUCACUUUUGAAUGAUUUAUUGUAUUCUCUAUAAACCAAUUGUUUGUUUAUUCGGAUUGAUAGGGAUCUCAGUGAUAAUAAUAAUAAUAAAUUUAGCGGUAGUGCUUUUAA